AACGCGAAGAACCUUACCAGCCCUUGACAUGUCCCGUAUGGGGCCGAGAGAUCGGCUUCUUCAGUUCGGCUGGCGGGAACACAGGUGCUGCAUGGCUGUCGUCAGCUCGUGUCGUGAGAUGUUGGGUUAAGUCCCGCAACGAGCGCAACCCUCACCUUCAGUUGCCAUCAGGUUAAGCUGGGCACUCUGAAGGAACUGCCGGUGACAAGCCGGAGGAAGGCGGGGAUGACGUCAAGUCCUCAUGGCCUUUAUGGGCUGGGCUACACACGUGCUACAAUGGCGGUGACAGAGGGAGGCAACGGGGCGACCCUUAGCCAAUCUCGAAAAGCCGUCUCAGUUCGGAUUGUUCUCUGCAACUCGAGAGCAUGAAGCUGGAAUCGCUAGUAAUCGCGGAUCAGCACGCCGCGGUGAAUACGUUCCCGGGUCUGACCACCAAGG
rnacentral:rRNA from 1 species